GGAGGAAUACCCAAGUCCGGCUGAAGGGAUCGGUCUUGAAAACGGACAGGGGCUUAACGGCUCGCGGGGGUUCGAAUCCCUCUUCCUCCG
rnacentral:tRNA from 1 species